rnacentral:lncRNA from 1 species
AGGAUCUGGACUUAGAUGUGGUUAAAUUAACUUAAAGUAGCCUAUGAUGCGCAUCUGGGGACUUAAUUUCUUGUUCAGAUGAUUUGGAAGGCAAGAUGGACUAGAAGUGCGGUGGAAUUUCUUGACUUCAUUGGGUAAAAUUUAUUUCAUUGUUCUGUCCAUUACCAAAAUACAUGUUGUAUUGCUUUAAGACCACGUCCCCAUGGUGAAGAAUGUGACGUUCUUUUUGCAGCUUAAGUAUGAUGCUCACUUACCUAGUCCUAUCAGCAAGAAUUUCAUUACGUUCAUCUUUGGAUGUGGCGGGACAGAGUUGACCCAAAACAUUUUGGUUUGCACCAUGUGGUAUGAGCAGCCUGAUCUGCAAGCAGGACCAGGGAAUACUGGAAACAUAACCUUUUGUGUGGGAUUUUGUGAUAACUAUAAUGAGAAAGACUAAAUUAUCUUGGAACAAUGAUAAUUUUUUGAAAAAAUAAGAUUUAGUGGG